rnacentral:rRNA from 1 species
UACGGGGGGGGCAAGCGUUGUCCGGAAUUAUUGGGUGUAAAGGGCGCGUAGGCGGAUUUGUAAGUCAGUGGUGAAAUCUCGGGACUUAACUCCGAGUCUGCCGCUGAGACUGCUUUUCUUGAGUGUGGAAGAGGAAAUCGGAAUUCCCGGUGUAGCGGUGAAAUGCGUAGAUAUCGGGAAGAACACCAGUGGCGAAGGCGGAUUUCUGGUCCACAACUGACGCUGAGGCGCGAAAGCGUGGGUAGCAAACAGG